UACAGAGGUCUCAAGCGUUGUUCGGAUUCAUUGGGCGUAAAGGGUGCGUAGGUGGUGCUGUAAGUUAGGUGUGAAAUCUCGGGGCUCAACCCCGAAACUGCACUUGAUACUGCAGUGCUCGAGGACUGGAGAGGAGAUUGGAAUUCAUGGUGUAGCAGUGAAAUGCGUAGAUAUCAUGAGGAAGACCAGUGGCGAAGGCGGAUCUCUGGACAGUUCCUGACACUGAGGCACGAAGGCCAGGGGAGCAAACGGG
rnacentral:rRNA from 1 species